UUUAUUCCAUGAGUGGUUGUGUGUUUUUUUUAUUUCCGAAAUUGGAGAAUUAAGAUUUGUAUAAUAUCGGAAUAUGGAAUGAAAGAAUGAGCGAGGCGAGGAUUGGGAGGAUGAAGCAAAAGACAACACGGGUGGCACUAGGGACACUAAUUGGUCGGGAGUUGAGGGAUGAUAAUGUCGAGCUACAUUAAUGGACCUGUUAAUUGCAUGUGGUAUAGCUACAUUAUCAGUUUUUUUUUUUGUAUGAAUAUUUGUUUCUCUUGAAUAGAUUUUUGAUGGGCAUAAAUCAUAAAGGUGUAUUGGUUGCUAUCUUCGGUAAAGAAAAUCAAUUAAACAAUGUCUUGAGUGCUAUCCCUCAAGGAAUUGGUAGGGAACAAUAGCUUCAAGCAUUUCCUCAAGCACCAGUUGCAAUUUUUGUGAAAACUAAUGAAGAGUUUCAGCAAAAAGGCAAGCUGCAAUCUCUGGUUUUAAUAUUUCUUUUGCCAGAAAACGGGUUAGGUUUGGGUUGAGUGGGUCUUUUUAUUUGAUAAAAGAAUUGUGGACCAAUGAAAAUUGGCCACUUGUUUAGUACAAUUCCAUGUCAUAUUUCUGUUAACUAAAGGACAUUUUUUAACCUAAAGAAAACAUUAAGGGCAUUUCAAAAACCACUAGGUGGAAGGAGAGCAUUUUUGAACAAUUUCUAAUAGGUUAAGGGCAUUUUUGAGCCUUUUCCCUUUGAUAUAUUGUGUCUCAGUUUCAGAUACAUCACUCAACGUACCAAUAUAUCGCAAUUCAAUUUUAGAUACACCACUCAAUGUCAUGAUACAUCACGUAAAGUGAUGUAUUCGAGAAUAGAAUAGAGUAUGAAUUUUUGUAAUUUUUCAAAUGAUAAAAAUCUUUUGAAAAUAUGAUAAAAUAAAUUGUGUAUUUAGAUAUUUGUUCUUUUAUCAGAAUAAAAAAAGAGAGUGUAAUGAAUGUCGUUCCUCUCUACUGACCCAAAUUUUGAACUUUUUCUUGAAUAGGAAUACUUCCAAUACUUUUAUGCAUCUUACAUUUAAAAUUAAAAAAACAAUUAUAAAAUAUAAGGUAUCAAAAUGUUGAAGGAUGUAUUCGAAAUCAGUACGCGAUGUAUCAUGAUUUAAGAAUUUUUUUUAAUUUGAAAAAAAAGUAAGAAUAGCACUAUGUGCUUGUGUAAAAUUCUCUGAUGAUAAUGGUCGAUUCUAAUGAAUAGGUUAUGAAGUAACCUUUUAGAGAUAGCCCUUUACAAAAAGAUGAAGAAAUUUGAAAAGGCAAUUUUCUUCUAUUUGUUUGCUAAGUGGCCAAGAGAUCUUGAUUCCUCUUUACUAGUCAGUUGAUUAAUAAAAAGAUGGUUUCAGAAUAUGUUGGAUUUACAAUGUCACUAGAUAUAUCAUUAGAAAUGUGAUGUAAUAAUCUAUGAAUACUCUGCAGCUGCAAUGUACAUAUGAAUUACCAGAUUAUUAACUAGUUUUACUUGAGAGGCUUGUUUUUAUCAAAGUAAACAACUGUUAUUGAACUAUCACUUUUAUUUGAGUUAAUUACAGUUCUCCUUAUAAUUGAAUGCUUCAACACAAAGUUAAUUGUACACCAGAAUAAAUGUAACAGGGGUGUGCGAAGGGAAGACAUUGCUGGUGUUUUUAAGAUACGACCUUUUCAAUCAAUCGUGUACCACAAUAAUAAGAGGGAAAGAUCUACCGGUCAUCAAAUAGAGAAACUGGAUACCCUUCCAUGCUUGCCAUUUCCAUGACCUCCUU
rnacentral:lncRNA from 1 species